UGCUGCCGGGGGGGGGGCCGGGGGGGGGGGACAGCAGAGACACGGGUGGGUGUCACCACGGGGCCCUGGGGACAGCAGGGACAUGGUCGGGGGACACCACAGGGCCCUGGGGACAGCAGAGAUGUGGGGGACCGUCCACCUGGGAAGGUCUUGGGGACGGCAGCGGGGAGGGGGACCGUCCCCCUUGCCCUGGGGACAGCGGGGACGCGGGCCGGCCUCCGGGGCGGCUCACACGGCGACGGGCUCCUGGACGUGGUUCUGGCGCUUCACCACGAAGAGCUUCUGCCCGGAGACGGUGACGAGCAGGGAGUGUUCCCCGAACACCACUGCGGGGACAGGGUGAGCGCGGGGCCACCGAGGCCACCACCGUCGCCCCGGGGACGCCACCCUCCUGGAGGCAGGGCGAGUGCGGGGCCACCGGGGUCGUCACCAUCACCCUGGGGACAGGGUGAGUGUGGGGCCACCACGGUCAUCACCAUCACCCUGGGGACACCGGGGACACCACUCCCUAGGGACAGAGUGAGCGUGGGGCCACCGAGGCCACCACCAUCACCCUGAGGACACUG
rnacentral:lncRNA from 1 species